rnacentral:lncRNA from 1 species
GGGAAAUCGAGUUCUCAUGCUGGGGCGAAAGGUGUGUCUGCAGGAGCCAAAUCCAAAUGAGCAGUCCAGAGCUUCAGAGAAGAGGCAGAAGUGUGCAAACAGGAGCAGGUCCAAGAUUUGCAUGGCCAGAAGCAAUUCUUGAUCCUCUUGGCUAGAUUCGAAGAUUUGGCCACCUCCAGACGCUACCACACUCUGGGACAGUGGGAGAUUUGGAACAGCUUUGAGAAGAGCAAGGAAAAGAAAAUUUGGACAUAGACUCAUACAGAGGAAAGAUGAUGUGAGGACAGACAUCUAAGCCACGGAGCAAGGCCCUUCCCUCACAGCUCUCAGAAGGAACCAAACCUGUUGACAUCUGUUUUUUUUUUUUUGAGAUGGAGUCUAGCUCUGUCGCCCAGGCUGGAGUGCAGUAGCACGAUCUCAGCUCACUGCAGCCUCCGCCUCCCAGGUUCAAGCAAUUCUCCUGCCUCAGCCUCCCGAGUAGCUGGGAUUACAGGCACCCGCCACCACGCCCGGCUAAUUUUUAUAUUUUUAGUAGAGACAGGGUUUCACCACGUUGGCCAGGCUGGUCUCGAACUCCUGACUUCAAGUGAUCUGCUCUCCUUGGCCUCCCAAAGUGCUGGGAUCACAGGCGUGAGCCACUGCACCCGGCCCCUGUUGACAUCUUGAUCUCAGACUUCACCCGGC